UGGGGAAUAUUGCGCAAUGGCCGCAAGGCUGACGCAGCGACGCCGCGUGUGGGAUGACGGUCUUCGGAUUGUAAACCACUGUCAGGGGGAACGAAUGCGGGACGUCGAAUAGGCGAUCUCGAGUGACGGUACCUCCAAAGGAAGCACCGGCUAACUCCGUGCCAGCAGCCGCGGUAAUACGGAGGGUGCGAGCGUUGUCCGGAAUCACUGGGCGUAAAGGGCGCGUAGGCGGUUCGGUAAGUUGCUGGUGAAAUCCCGGGGCUCAACUCCGGGGCUGACGGCAAGACUGUCGGACUUGAGCACGGUAGGGGCAGAUGGAAUUCCCGGUGUAGCGGUGGAAUGCGUAGAUAUCGGGAAGAAUACCAGUGGCGAAGGCGUUCUGCUGGGCCGUUGCUGACGCUGAGGCGCGACAGCGUGGGGAGCAAACAGG
rnacentral:rRNA from 1 species